GCGCAGAGUGGCCAGGCCCGGCCCGCCCCUCGCCUCCUGACCCAGUCCCUGUGGGCACCAUCCCGCCCUCCCCUCAAGGUGGCCACGAGGGACUCCCCCUCCUCCUCCUCCUCCUCCUGGCCUCCAGUCCCAGCUCCCCGCGCUCUCACGCCCGCUCUCCCCCAGGACCCCUGCGAGACGCGGGUGUCCUGGACCCGACGCCCUCCACCCAAGGGGCAGCGGGGAGGUCUCUGUGCCCUGCACACGGCAGUUCUCAAACUGGACGGUGUCCAUCAGCAUCCUCCAGGAGGUCUGGGGGGACCCAGGAAUGCGCGUGCCCCACCUGUCCCCGCCGGCCCCCAAGCCUCGCUCCUGUCCCUGAACACCCCCCGCUGUAAACUCAGCAAGGAAAAACCUAAAAGCUGGAGCAAGUUGCUAGUCUCCUGCUAAGCGGGGCCAAGCGAGCGACCCUGGAUCCGCAUCCCUGCUAGGCCUGCCAUCACAAUUGGCCAAUUUCACCAGACAUUUCUCAAGAUCUAAGGCACAAUGUUCGUAAAGUCGUCCAGAAAAGGACAAGAGGGAUUUAAGAAGUAGGAAUGCCAGUCGAAGGAACUUGAUCAGGCCGCAGAAAGCGAAAUGACCAGAGAGCACAAGACUCAAAUUUGCAUCAGCCAGACAUGAAACUUUCAUCUUCCACCUACUUCUUUUUGCCUAAAAACAGGAACACAGAAUGUCUUGGCAAGGGUCACCCCAGGAGGAGGAGUAAGUUCCCAAAAAAGCAUAACACAUUUUUAUAAUUUAAUUAAUACAAUUUCUUUCGCUAUGUGUUUUUAUCAUUCGAGCUUUCUCAUGACCAGGCCGUUAAAUAAAUACAUACUUUUGCCUACAG